CGGCAUAAACAAAUAACGUGUCAAUCUCAUCAAACUUUGCUUAUUUAUGGAUUUACAUAUACAUUAAUCUAAUACUCUUCCGUUUAUUCAUUCGUUUCCCUAUUUAAUGAUGCACUCUUUCUAACACUGAACAUUUAUACAUUUCUUAGGUGGAUUUUAGUAAUCCUAGCCAUCUAUAAUUUUCUUUUCCUAGUCAAAGGUUCUAAUUCUGUGCAGCAUAUUUGAAACAAGCUGCGGCGGAUCCAUGAAUCAUAAUCACAUAAAUGUUAACGAUCAGUUUUCAAUACGAGGGCUACAUAUGUGUUCGUCGAUACAUUUUCCACAAACUCCAUUCAAGUAAAGACCACUCGAAGCUAAUGUCGCUGGGCUGUAUGUCCGUAGGAUGAAACUUUUCUACCUUGCCAGGAUAUGACUCGCUGGUAGUGAAGCUGGCGCUAAGAGGAUUCGACACUCUGAGAUAGGAGGAGGCCGUACCGGACCGAACCACCAGCGUGAAAGUCGUUUAUGUACUGGACUUCGAAAGAAUCGUACUGGCCACGUGGAAUAUCCCAAGUUAAAGUAAUUCUUGUGUCAUUGACAUCUACCGUCUGGAUAGAUGUGAUUGGUUCGGGAUCUGAAAUUAAAUUUCAUUCGG